CAGAGCUUCGAAGCCUGGAGGGUUUACUCUUCAGGCGAGAACUCCACCCUUUGUUUACAUUACCUUUGUUGCUUUAGCAGGCCCGCUCUCGGGCCGCCGGCAAUAGCUGGUCAGUGCCUGCUAGAGGACCUAAAACUCAUGUUAAUAAAGUAGUCUGAGUACUAUAUAAUAGUUA
rnacentral:misc_RNA from 1 species